CUAGAUUAUUAUCUAAGGUGACACCUGCCCAGUGGUUUUAAAGUAAAAAUAAAUAAAUGUUAUUUAAUAAAACUAAAAGGAUGCGGUAACCUUGACUGUGGUAAAGUAGCAUAAUCACCCGCCAUUUAAUUGAUGGAUAGUAUGAAUGGAUUAACGAACAUUCCACUGUCUUAAAAAGAAGUAAAUAAAAAUUGAAAUAAUAGUUAAGAUGCUAUUUUAAAUUGUAAGACGAAAAGACCCUAUAGAGCUUAACUAUAAUCUCUUUUACUUUUUUAUAUACCAAUAUAUUCUUUAAAGAGAUUGGUAGUUUAGUUGGGGCGACUGUCUUCUAAAAAAAACGAAGAUAAGCGAAGUUAAUUUUAAUUUAUUGUAUAACUUAUAAGUUUAACAAUUAUAAACAUAGGCAAUAAUGACCUGUUAAAAUUUCAUGGUAAAGUUAACAAUCAAUAAAUAAAAGCUACCUUAGGGAUAACAGAUUAAUUUUAUUCUAGAGCCCUUAUCGAAAAUAAAGUUUAUUACCUCUAUGUUGAAUUAAGAUAUCCUGAUGAUGUAGAAGUUAUCAAUGGUAGGUCUGUUCGACCUCUAAGAU
rnacentral:rRNA from 1 species